GUCCCACUCCCACUCCAGCCGCCAGACAAACCCUAGCCCCCUUUCCUCGAUCCCCACAGCCAAUCCCCCCUCGCGUCACCAUGGCCUCUGCCCUGGAGCCCCGCGGACGUCUGCUAUAACCCCUCCCUCGUCUCUGUCCGGCCGCCCUCUCGUGUUCCACCACGCAGCCGCCUCUUCCUCCUCUAUUCCCUCCUACCGUGGUUCCGGAUCGGGUGCAGGCCGUCAUAGUGGAGAGCAUGAGCGUCAAGGUCUUAAUAGUGGGGUGGAGCUGCAGGGGAGGUAAGGAUGCCGGACGGAUCUGGUGCCUGUCGGCUGAAGCAGCAGGAGUUGGCAGAGCGACGGAUGCGGACGGGGUCAUCAACAGGGGCUGUAAGAGAAGGAGCUCAAGUUGGUUCACGGUUUGCCUUUGCAUCCUCUCUAUUCCCCUUCCCUCACUCAUGCCUCCCCCUUUUCUCAUGGAUGAGGGCUUCGGCUGCAGGUGCGCCAGGAGGAGUGGAAGGCUGAGGUCGUUUGACGGUCGGACCAGCAGGAGCAAGGAGCCAACGGUGGUCAAUUUCUUGCAUCCCAUCCCGGACUCUAAAAGAUUUCAGUUUGAUAUAGGCUAUAGUUUGACUUUUUGCUUCUUGAAGUGAAUGGUAUAGCACCAUGUUGAUUACAUUAGAUUUGUUGGUCAGGCUUGUCUAAAGUCAAUAAUUUCUUGAUCCAUUUUCAAUUUAAGUAAACCAUCCAGAUAAUCAUGAUUUGUUUGCCCUAUUCAGUGUUUCUGUUGUGCUUUGUUUUUGUUUGAAGAUUUGGGUUGGAAUUGUUGGAUAUCCAAAUGUUUGUGAAUCAUCCUUGAUUAGUUGCUUGCUAAAACAAAGAAUGCGUCCAACAGCACCUCGACCAGGUGUCACAAGAGAACUGAAGUAAAUUUCUCAGCUGCACAUGUAGUCUUAACAUUGCUAGCUAUUGUCCCUAGAAAACAUUUAUAGCUGUUGUAUAAGGAUAUUGUAGUUUAUCUUAGUAGGAAAUAGUGUGAUGUUUUCUCUAUUCAAAUUCUAACAUUUCGAACCUCAAACAGGUGGGUUCGUUUGGGAAGGAUCUUGAGCUGUUAGACUCACCUGGAAUUUUGCCAAUGAGAAUUAGAGACCAGACAGCUGCACUUAAGCUUGCUAAGCUACCCAUUUAUUCCUUCUAUUCGUUGAUUAUAGGAACAACACAUGCGUUCAUCAUACAAACCUGCAGCUUAUGUGCGAUAGGAUGGACUCGACAUAAAAAAAGUUUCUCUUCGGCUGCUCUGAUUUUGAGCCAAGACCCUUGGGAGUUUGUCUGGCCUCAUUGUCGACAGUGUGCAUCAGUUAGUUAUGACCUCAUCUCUUCAGUGAGAUUUUUUCCUCCAUGAAGGUUCCUCCUUACAUUGGGUUUAUUAUCCUAUUACGCGUGCUUGAUUCUACUUGAUAUUUUUGCCAUGGUGGAUUUCCGUAUUGUUCUGCAGGAUAUCCCUGACGAUCACAGGGAACGGUCCAACCAAAAGAAAAUAGUUGUAUCAAGUAAGCGCAAUAAUUUGUUGAUCUUUGCAAGUAAAGAGGAAGAAAUCAUGUUCCUUACUUUGGUGUGUGUGACAUGAAACAUCAUUUCCUAAGUAAACAAAUUAUUUGCUUGCCAUUGAAAACAAAAAUUUGAGCAAAUAUAUAUUUUAUUGUUCAUGAUCUUUCUUUUUUGUCUGUAUCGAAGUUCAUGCUCACUCAAUAUAUAUAAUGUUGUGAUCGUGUCUGAUUUGUGCAUACUUAAUUUUUUUCUUCAGUUCUGCCUUAUUGAUAAAGAAUGCAUCAUCAUAGUAGUUUUUAUUUAAAAUCUGUAUGGGUUGGUGCAUCUGCAUUCAUAGAAUGAUCUUUUCUUUAAUAUAGCAAGACUGAAUAAAAUUAGAUUGUGCGUGAAGUUUAUUAGAGAUAAUGCACCAUGUAUGACUUCAUAAAUAAAGCCAUCAUGUGCAAGAUCAAGUCACACUGAAGUUAAGUUAAAAGGUUACAAAACAAAGCGGUCUGAUAUGGAAUAUACACUAUUUUCAUUUUGAUUAACAUGAAGUCUGCCAUUAACGUACUUUGUUCUUAACAUUUUUUUACCGAAUGCAUGGGAAUGUCACCAAUAUUUUUUCUGAAGCAGUAUCACCCCUUAUAAUUAUCUUUACCGUUUGUCCUUUGAAUUGCAGCCUGCAUUUUUGCAGCCUGCGAAGCGUAAAUGUUGGACUAUUGUUUCUCCCCUGAUGCACAUGUUUCGCCACACAGACGAUAUAGUGUGUGUGUGUGAUCUCUGGAAUUAGUUUUUAGGUUAUUCUGUGUGUUGAGUACUUCUGUAAUUUUCCAUGGGCGUGUUUCAUAUUUUCUGUGUAUUGUCUAUCAUUCUUUCAAGUGUUUAAUGUUUUUUUUGUAGUUUUUGAUAUUUAGUUUCAGUCAUGUUUCAUUUGUCGCAGACCUACACCUAUUAGGAAGCACAUAGUUUCAUUUUGAUCAUGUUUCUUUUAGUUGUUCAGUGUUUGUUAAUUAAUGUAGCAGAGUAAGCAGUACAUUUUGGCCAUUAGUUAAAUCACUCAUGUCACAUUCAGUUGAUUAGGUUCAGUUUUUGUUCCUUCCUUCUUCGUUCCUUCAGUUUUUUGUUCCUUUAUUUAGUCAUUGUGCUUGCAUCAUUUGCCGGUAUUUAAGUCAAUAUAACUAUUUAGUCCAUCUCAAUAGACCCUUAUGAUUCUUGAUAGUUUCUCUCUUUCAUAGAUCAGACUUUUCCGCUUUUUCAGUUAGGCUAAUUUAUGCUUUCUUUUUCAGUUUUCAGUCUUCACUUGAUUUAGUUGGACAUUGUGUUCAGUAUUUCAAUAGUUCAGUAGUUUCAUUGAUUGAUAUGUGCAUUUUCGUACUUAGUGAAGCAUCUUAAUGCAUUUUUGUACUUUGUGAAGCAUCUUAAUUUGAUCGAUAUGUGCAUUCAGUUGAGAACUCUGAAGUCAGAACAACUGUGUUUGACUUCUUCAGAUGGUAAUUUUUAUCGGUUAGACUUAUAGUUACAAUUACUAGAAGUAGCAAAGGUCUGGGUUUGUUUAGAGCUUGAGUUGGUGCUUUUUUGUUUCAGAUCAUAUGUUGGUACUUCAUUUUACUCAGAUCAUAUGAAGGUGAGUGUAAUUGUGUGAUCUGGAUUAGGAUGCAAUGAAAUUCAGAAGUAGUAGAAGUACACUGUUUUUUACUUUCUUUCAGAACGAAUACUAUAGAAGUACACCGCUGCCUGGUAAAUUAUUGCCAUGGCCUCAAUGGCAGAUGUGUACCUGAUAGUGAUAUAUCCUACGAGUACCGGAUGGUUGACAUCCUUACCUGACAGGUAUAGAUUAUACAUAGUAGCCUAGCAGUGCAUGGAAAAACUAGGUUCGGUCUGAAGUCUGAACCCCUGAAGAAGCAAAAGCCAAAAAACAGAGAUCAGACGACUAAAUACAAGAGUGCAUCUUCUCCUUUUUUGUCUUUUUGUUGAGUGGAAUGCAUCUUCUAACCUGGCUGUAGGCUAUAAUCAACUCAAUUUUGUUUUCUCCAUGUGAUAGCCAGGUAGGCGGCUACGUGGUAAAAUAAGCUCAACUUUCUUUUAAUAAAUCUGGAUCAUGUCUUUAGAGUGUAGAGAUGCAACAUCAUAUACGUACAAGGAAUGGUCGACGACCACUUUUACAAUCAUCUUUUUUGUUUGUGAAAUCAGAGCUUCUAUUAUUACAACUGCACGCUCCAGUCAUGCUGAAUACAUGGGAGCAGUACAUACAGUAGAAGGAGAUACAGAUUAAAGCUAUGCUCCUCAUUCAACUUUUGCCACACUCGUUCAGUAAUCAGUACAACUCAUUCUGCUUCAGAAUGGAAGCGUCGAACGGCUAGCAGAACCGAGGCCGCUGGGACACCGUCGCAUUGAGGUAGUGCCAUGGCCGUAGGAGCUGAUGUCGCAUGGGCAGCGCCGCGGCCGCAGGAUCGCUGUUGUGUAGUGCAACAGCCUCCGACUCGGUGUUGCGUGAUGGAAGAGCAGUGGUCAAGUUCGACGGCAUUGAAGCGAGAUGUGAGAUCCCAGCGCUCCAAAUGACGAGUCGUGGCCGGCGGAGGGCUAACAACCGGUGGUGGAGGGUGAUUCUGAGAAAUCAUGAGCUUUUUCCUUCUAUGAGAAGUGAUAAAGUUACAACAUAGUUUGCUCAGUGGUGUGCAUCAGUGCAGAUUGAGCAAGGCACAAUCUAAGAAGAAAAACACAAAAUUAGAAACAGUGUGCAUCAUAUGAAUGUUGGUUGAGCGACGUUGUUGGGAGCCCGGUUGUGGCACAGCCCUUCGGCGUGGUGCCCUCUUGCAUUGCCGCUAUGGUCGCCUUGCGUUGGACGGGAGGAGAUAAGUCAAUCCCCAAUUAAGAUGCACAAUUAAGAUCCCUAACUAAACUGGCAACAUCAUUAUUGAAGGGAAAUGAUUGGAUGACAAACUUUAUAGGUUUAGUAUCAUAUCAUUCAUUUGUGACUGCAUGAUCUUAAUUGUGCAUCUCUGAAUAUUUUAGGCCCUUGCUCUUGGAAGAUUAGACCGAUGUGGUGUUGCUUUAUAAAUAAAUGACAUGUGCGAACUUACCGGUUUGAUUUAGGUGUGUAGGCAGAGGCGAAAAAAGAAUCGCAAUCUCAGGUUUAG
rnacentral:lncRNA from 1 species